rnacentral:lncRNA from 1 species
UUUGUCUGCAGGAUAGGGACGCAACCUCCAGCAGCCUCGCGUGGCCCCAGAGUUCCGGCAAGGGUCACGCAGGCAGAAAGGCUGUUGGAUUCCCCUGGAACUGCAUUUGGAAACAGAUGUGAUCUGCGUGUGGGAGAGAAAGCCAAGCCCUGGUGCUCUGGAACCAAUCUGCGGGCAAUGCUCUUGCUCCCUGAGCCAUCUCUAAAGACGAAUGUCCCUUCCACCCAGGAAUUUCUCUCUCAGACAUCAUCUGACCUGUGUGCAAAGCUGAGCAUGAGUGACUCCAUACCUCUCAGCUAG